rnacentral:rRNA from 1 species
AUUGAACGCUGGCGGCAGGCCUAACACAUGCAAGUCGAACGAGUGGCGGACGGGUGAGUAAUGUACGGGAAACUUCCUGACGGAGGGGGAUAACUACUGGAAACGGUAGAUAAUACCGCAUCCCAUCAGAUGCGCCCAGAUGGGUUUAGCUUGUUGGUGGGGUAACGGCUCACCAAGGCGACGAUCCCUAGCUGGGCUGAGAGGAUGACGAGCCACACUGUAACUGAGACACGGUCCAGACUCCUACGGGAGGCAGCAGUGGGGAAUAUUGCACAAUGGGCGCAAGCCUGAUGCAGCCAUGCCGCGUGAGUGAAGAAGGCCUUCGGGUUGUAAAGUACUUUCAGCGGGGAGGCGUUACCCGCAGAAGAAGCCCCGGCUAACUCCGUGCCAGCAGCCGCGGUAAUUC